AUAGCCCAGACCACCAGUAAGGCCCCAAAAUAACUACUAAGUGAUAAAGGAUGUAUUGGUACAUAGACAACCAGGAGGUUUGCCUAGAAGCAGCAAUCCUUUAAAAAUAGCGUAAUAGCUUACUGGUCAAGUGCCUUUGCGCCGAUAAUGAACGGGGCUAAGUAGUUUGCCGAAGCUGUGGGGUAUAAUACGGUAGAAGAGCGUUCUGUUUAGGUUGAAGUAAUAGCGAGAGCAAUUGUGGACUUAACAGAAGUGAGAAUGUCGGCUUAAGUAACGAAAACAUUGGUGAGAAUCCAAUGCUCCGAAAACCUAAGGUUUCCCUUGCAAGGUUCGUCCUCGAGGGGUUAGUCAGGUCCUAAGAUCAGGCCAAAUGGCGUAGUCGAUGGUUAACAGGUUAAUAUUCCUGUACUACAUUUAAUUUGCGUACGGAUAACGAAGGAGGCUAGACUUAUCAGAUUUUGGUUGUUCUGGUCUAAAUUAUCCAGGCGUUGAGAAGAAUUAAAUAAAAAAUUCUUUGAGCUUAGAAAUGAAUGAUAAAGUGUUACGGCAUUUAAAAAGUUGAUGUCAUACUUCCUAGAAAAAUCCUUGUACGUGUAUUUUUUAUGUACCUGUACCGUAAACUGACACAGGUGGGUGGGUAGAGUAUACUAAGGAGCGCGAGCUAACUCUUUUUAAGGAACUCGGCAAAAUAGUCUUGUAACUUCGGGAGAAAAGAUGCCUUGUUUAUAAAACAAGGUCGCAGUGACCAGAUCUAGGCGACUGUUUACCAAAAACACAGGUCUCAGCAAAGUCGAAAGACAAAGUAUUGGGGCUGACGCCUGCCCAGUGCUAGAAGGUUAAAGAAACCGGUUAGCUUUUGCAAAGCUGGUGACUGAAGCCCUAGUGAACGGCAGCAAUAACUAUGAUUGUUCUAUGGUAGCGAAAUUCCUUGUCGGGUAAGUUCCGACCUGCACGAAAGGCGUAACGAUCUAGAAACUGUCUCAAAAAGAGGCUCGGUGAAAUAGAAUUAACUGUGAAGAUGCGGUUAACUUGCACUUGGACAGAAAGACCCUAUGAAGCUUUACUGUAACUUGAUAUUGAUUUUGGACUUUUUUUGCGCAGUAUAGGUGGGAGGCUGUGAUGCUUUUUUUCGGAAAAGUUGAGCCAACAGUGAGAUACCACUCUGAAAAAGUUAGAAAUCUAAUGACAUUUUUGUAGCAGAAUGUUUGACAUUGUCAGGCGGGCAGUUUUACUGGGGCGGUAGCCUCCUAAAAGGUAACGGAGGCGUACAAAGGUUUUCUCAGACUGGACGGAAAUUUGUUGCAGAGUAUAAAGGCAAAAGAAAGCUUAACUGUUAGACUUACAAGUCAAGCAGAGACGAAAGUCGGUCUUAGUGAUCUGACAAUACCGAAUGUAAGGGUUGUCACUUAACGGAUAAAAGUUACUCUAGGGAUAACAGGCUGAUCUCCUCCAAGAGUUCACAUCGACGAGGAGGUUUGGCACCUCGAUGUCGGCUCAUCGCAACCUGGAGCGGUAGUACGUUCCAAGGGUUAGGCUGUUCGCCUAUUAAAGCGGUACGUGAGCUGGGUUCAGAACGUCGAGAGACAGUUCGGUCCAUAUCCGGUGUGAGCGUUAGAAUAUUGAGGUAAGAUUUUUCUAGUACGAGAGGACCGAAAAAUACACACCGCUGGUGUACCAGUUCUCAUACCAAUGAGAAAUGCUGGGUAGUCAUGUGUGGAGUGGAUA
rnacentral:rRNA from 2 species